AUCCGAACCGGCGAAACCCUGGACCGCCCGAAGUGGUGCGUGAGAACUUAACCACUCGGCCACGGGCCGGCCCCCGAUUUUGCAUAAUCUUAAUGAGACUUCAAAGUCUGCUCCACCAUUGGCUUUAAUGCUUACUGUCGUAUAUCUAAUAAGGGGAAUGAUAUAUGCCUCUUUUUCCCUCUCGUUUCUUUAGGGGCUUGGCAGACUUGGAGGAAAUGAACACUUUUAAGAACCCUGAACAAGAGGUGGACUGUUUUGUGGAUAACUGUCUUUUAACUAGCAUUGUUGAGGCAGAGUCAGAAACCAUGGCGGGGGGAAAGGACAGAAAAUAAAGUCAAAGCAGGGCUUGUUCAAACAGAAAACUUUUUUUAAGUUCCACCUAGUGUCAUCAUAAUAUAUAUAUCUAUACACCUUCUCAAUCAUGGGGACCAAAGUUUUUCAUAAGUCAGAUGAACAUCUAAACUAUUGAGGACAGAUUUUAUUUAGCAGACAUUCACAUAGGAUUUACUGUGAGAUAUAUGUCCAAAGGGCUUUAUAAACAAUAGAUUCAUUUAUUAAAUUAAUCGUUUAUUCCUCAUAACAAACAAAACCUCCUAUCAAGUAGGAACUAGUGUUAGUUCCCAUUUUACAGAUAAGGAAACUGAGGCAUAGAGAGGUUAAGUAACAUCCCUAAGGUCACACAGCUGUAAGUGAGAGAGCGGGAAUUUGAAUUCAAGCGGUCUGGCUUGAGGCUCUGCCCCUAAACACCACAUUUUGCAGCCUUUCCAAUUUAUUUUCUUCCUAAAGUUCCAGUGAAGACAAAUGUUUUACAACCAAUACCAGAAAAUACCUAAUGAGCAUGAAACAUUAUUUAAAAAGAAAAACAACUAAUUAAGGACUUUGUCAGCUGUGUAGCACCUUGACCUUAGACAUAACUUUCCCCAAAGCUGCCUAAUUAUAAUAAUGUUCCCUCCCUAUUAUUUAUUGUCUGCUUGGUUCUCCCACCCAUUUCCCAACUUUCAAAUUACAUGAUUUGUACCUCACUCUUGUUUGUGUAUCUUUGACCAUGAACCCCUUUUUGUUGGUUGUGGGAUUAUGGGAAGUUUAUUGAUUGUGUCCAGGGUUAGACUAAUGGUGUCCUUUCAUCUGUUUCUCUUUUAGCUUAAUUAUAAUUCUUGCCUGUUAAUUAUUUCUAUCAGUCCAUGUUCACGUCCAGUCUUCUCUUCCAUGUAGAUUUUGCUAGUAUCAUAAAUCAAUUUUUUCAUGUCUCUGCAUAGAUUUUCUGUGCUGCUUUUCUAAAUAUAUUGAUCUUAACUGUUUUAAUAGAAACUCUGUUGUAGUUAAUUUCAUGUAGCAUAACACACCACGUACAUAAACUUAGUAGGGGAUCUGAAUAAAUCUACCAAGAUCUUGAAUACUUGAAUACCUUGAUGGGGCGUUUUUCUACUAUAAGGAAGGAAGCCCCAAGAAACUAAAUCAGUAAACAUAAGGAUUCUGUUUAAUGUCUGCCUUUCUUCUCAGCAUUUAGUGUAUUGUAAAAUUUGUUUAUACUUUCCUUUGUGGCAGUUGCAUCUCCCUGGCAACAGUACAACCUGUCUAAUCUAUAAACUACGGUAACGAUUAGAAAAGAGCUUAGGAAGUUUAGCUCCUUGUCAGUCGCAUGCCUCUAGCCUAACUGAAGCUGUAACAAGCUGUAACAUUAAGUUGUCACUAGACUGCUGGUGACUUAACGACAUUAAUUAUUACUCUCAUAAAAACCACGAGCUGACGUCUGUGUAUUGUACUGUAGUUGCCAUAGAUUCUAGCUUUCCUGUCUAAGAGAUAUGUAACAAAAGACCCUUCUGUUGUUGAUCUUUGUGCCAUGCUGUUUCUCAAAAUUACUAUUUUGUUUACUGUGAGCCAUAUAAACUUUUAAAUGUAAAUAUACACUAUUCAUUAAAUCUGUAUUGACCUCCUCUGCUGUGCCAGGCACCGUGCUGUGCCAUGGCAGACGCGAAGAUGAAUAAAAUGCAGUUCCUCUCCUUGUCGGGGAGUUUGUAACCCUGUAAAUACUCAAAUUGUUAAUAUGCAGAAUAUCUUUAAGGGCCCUAAGAAAUGUUUGAGAAGGAGACAAAAAAGUUCAUAGGCUAAAGGAAAACUACUUCUAGCUUUGGGUCUUGACGAUUAGGUUAGGUUUUGAUAACUGGAUUUGGGGGCUGGGAAAGAAGAGGAGCUAAUUCCAUAUCCAGACAAUGCUGUUCAUAUGGCACCAUGUAGCAAAGUAGUACUUUGGAGGUACGGUGUGAAAGUAAUAAAUAUUGCCUUUUUUUCCCUGUUAAACAUUUGGCAACCUUAAUGUGAUGAGAUUUGAGAAGAUGAAAUUUAAUACCCAGUUAAGAAUAGUUGAUUAAAAAAACCCAGAAAAUUUCUCAUUGUCCGCUUAAUAUUACUGUCUUUGAUUAUCUCCAAAAUCAAAUUUCUCUUUUUUAAUUCUAAAAUAUAGUUUUAAUGGGUUCCACUUAUUUACCUUAAAAGCUUGUUAUGAUUACCUUAAAAGCGUAUAAUGGAUUCCACUUACCUACCUUAAAAGUAUGUUAUGACAACACAUUGGUAUAAUACUCUUGGGAGCAUGGAAAUCAUCUGUGGUCUGGGCUACCUUCCUUCCGGCUUUUCCGGCUUGCAGCUGUAAAUCUGGGUCAGUCUGUUUGCUUUGAUGUUCCUCCUGUUCCAUCCUGUCUACACCUAGGCUUAAUCCAUGGUCAGUAAAGAGGAAGCCCACCAAAAAUAAGAGAUUCUUUCUACUUCUUACAGGAGCUCUCUGCUUCUCCUUGGAGAGUCUUAAUUUGUAUCUUACCGCAAAAUGAAAUAAAUGGAAAUUUGGGCAUAUUAAAAACAUUUCUUAAAAUUCUAGUUCAAAAUUAUAAAUUCUUUUUUCUUCAUUGUUCAUAGUUAUAUAACAUGUCAUUUAGAGACUUUAAAUUAUAAGCUCUAGCUUUACAAUAUUAACUUUUAAAUGAUAAUAAUCAGCCCAUUGAGUCUUACUGCCUUUUCUUCUAUGUGAUAAAGAGAAAACAUACAGUGUAGCUUUGAUAAACACGUGUAUUUAAAAGGGCCUGAAGACCUUAGCCUGUAGUAUGCUAGGCUUCUCAUUUUAGUUAUUUCCCCCCUAAAAAAUACCGUGAUUCCUUACAUGUACUGUAGAUGGCAGUACUUAUAUGGAAAAUAUAAGUUUAUAUAAGAGAUUUGAGAAUGAUUAGCAGAUGGAGUCUUAAAUGAGUAAGGUUCAAUUGAAAUGUUCUUUCUCUGUUAAUUUUUCUCAUUAACUGGAUUUUUUUUUAACAAUCGUAAACUUUCAUUUUCACUCAUGAUAUUUCCAUUCAGUUUUCUUCCACCAUCACCUGACCUCCCUCCCCACCCCAUGUUUGUUUCAGAAAUCACAUGUUAUACAACCAUUUUCUCUUUAGAUGGCAGUGAUUGGAAACUAGGUGAUUACGCAGAUGAUAGGAUCCUGUGUGAAGUUCUGUGUCUGCUUGCUUCAGACUCCUCACAACACAGCACUUGAGGCAGCUGCUAUCGUUCUAUCAAAAAAGACCUGAAGCGGAAGCCUAUUUCCUAUCCGUGGCAUAGUGGGAGAAGUCCCUGAGAGUCUGCCUAGAAGUGGUGUACAUUAUGCCGCUAGUUGUGUAAAGGAGGGGAAAGAAAACACACACGCACUUGCUUGUUCAUGUUUCUCUAGAAGACUACCCAAGAAAUGGGUAAUAUUGGUUGCCUCUGGGGAGAAGAGUUAGGUGGCUGGGGGAUAGGGCGGGAGAGAAACUUUUCUCUGAAUAUCCUUUGGUUUCUUUUGGAGUUUGAACUAUGUGAAUUUAUUACCUGUACAAAAACACAGUUAAAGCUUUAUUUCCUUGGUACAUCAUGUUACCACAUCUGAGGAGAAUAUAUACCAGUUGUCUUUUAUUUGGUGUAUUGUGUAACCUACUAAACUCCUAAACAUGUGCUAGGUAGAGAAAAGUAUUGGUAAGGAUCAUCUAAGUUGUCUGUAACAUUUUUUGUUUUGGUUACAGGGAACUUCCCACUCUACUUUUCACAGCUCUCAAAUAGUAUAUCCCGAUAAACCUCGAGUGGCUGUGAGUGGGAGUGGUUCCUCCCAGAUAAGCUACCUAUAGAUUUAUAGGACGAAGAGCUAUGUGUUUUGGUUUUGUUUUAGUUUUGUUGUUUUAAUGGAAAUUAUAGAUGGUGUGUGCCAGAAAACUCUGGCAGAAAACAGAUUGUGAACAGAAAAAAUAUGGUUCAGUAAAUCCCGUUACAUUGCUCAGAACUGAGAGCGACUUAGCACAUUUCCUUGGCAAGAUGAAUUGUUCGUGAUAUUCCAUCGGAGAAGUCAUAAUAGGACAUAUAGAGGCAUCAACUCUUCUUGAAAUAAGUUUUUGUAGCUGAAAUAAAAAAAUACUGGCAAUGUGAAAAGAAACUUCAUAGAUAAACCAUAGCCCAUGUCCUUAGAAAUUCUAUAUAUGUUUAUGGAUCAUGUAAAGAUGAUGUUGAGGGUUGUAAAGAAAGAGAGCUUUAGGUCUCGUUGAAACCUGAUAAACAAAACAAAAUUAAAAUCAAGUAUACACAAA